rnacentral:misc_RNA from 1 species
UUAAAAUCGAUCGGAGAAAAAAUAUUAUCUAAAUUGGUACUAAGCUUCAUGUAGAAUAUUAAACGAUACAUUACACAAAUAUUCUUCUGUACGUAAUUAUUUCACAUUAAUAAAUGUGAUUAGCAAAAAAUGGAAACAAAGUCCUUACGUAUUUUUCCACGCUGAACUCCAAUUUGUAAUCUGAUCUUCUUCGUUACUCAUAGCUUUCUCGAUUUUAUGUGAUUCCACUGUUUCCUUAAUAAUUCCGACACAUUUGCACGCAUCUCCAUUAUUUAAUAUCGAAAAUAAAUAUUAGGUUGUCCGAAAAGUUUCUUUCGCUUUAUAAGGAAAUAAUAGACGCACAAUGUUUUUUGUUUUAUAUUAGUUUAUUGAAUUAUGCGCGAACAUAA